GGCUCCAGACCCCACUGCAUUCAGGACUGCCUUGCAGCCUGACCUCCUCUUGCCCAGAUCUGCCUCCUUCUCCCUUCUCUAGGUGAUCUCCCAAAGGCAGCCCAUCAUACGUGACUGGCACCGAUCUCUGUCUCACGGGCCUCCAGCCCACACAGCACACGUGUGUGUAAGCAAGCAACGCUGCAUCUCGCCAGCAGGCACGUGCAGGUGCGGGGUGAGCCUCUCCUACCUCCCCCAGGACCCUCGUGCACAGUCAUUUAGGAACCAUCUAGAGCUGGUCCCUCUGCCGGUCCAGGCCGGCUCCUGGGGAAGUGAGACGAUGCUGGAGAUCGGGUGUGGAGCCUGGGGCCCGAGGUGGAGGUGGCUUCCUCCCCGCACUAUCCUGGAGCAGUGCUCAGGAGGUAUGCAGAGAGGCUGGCCGAGCAGGGGAAGGGGCUGCUGGCAGGACGGGCGACCCUCCCGGGUGGGCAGAAGAGGCUGAGCUCCCGGCUAGCCUCAAGCCAGAGGCAGAGCCAGGGCGUCAGGAUGCCAGGCCCUCCUGGCCACUAGCCAUGGCCGUUCUGGGACAUGUAAGCCGCCAGCGCCACCACCACGGCCACAUAGAGACCAGCGCCCACGGCGAUGGAGAGUGUGGCCAGGAA